GCAAAACAGAAAAGGGAAAUAGAAACCCUAGUUGCUUGCUCUUGUUCAGCCGCCGUUCGGCCCUCAUUCCACCAUCAUGAUUGAUGGAUAAUGGCCUGCGGUGGAGCCCCCCUUUUCACUCGACUCCAAGGUUCUCACUUCCCAAGCACCAAACAGCCAUCGAAACGACGCCUCGCGCUUCCGGCUUCGAUUUACUACUCUUGGGCCUCA
rnacentral:lncRNA from 1 species